rnacentral:rRNA from 1 species
GACAGAGGGUGCAAACGUUGUUCGGAAUUACUGGGCGUAAAGCGCGUGUAGGCUGUCUCGAAAGUCGGAUGUGAAAGCCCUGGGCUCAACCUAGGAAGUGCAUUCGAAACUUCGAGACUCGAGUCCUGGAGAGGAUCGCGGAAUUCUCGGUGUAGAGGUGAAAUUCGUAGAUAUCGAGAGGAACACCGGUGGCGAAGGCGGCGAUCUGGACAGUGACUGACGCUGAGACGCGAAAGCGUGGGGAGCAACAGGG